AUGAAUGGUGAAAAAAGGGUCCAUUGGAUAUCAUGGCAAAAGAAGUGUGCAAGUAAGAGAGACGGUGGCAUGGGGUUCCAGAAUUAUGAGACCUUCAAGCAAGCCUUGCUGGCCAAGCAAGCGUGGCGCAUUCUGCAAGUCCCGACCUCUCUUUGUGCUAGGGUUCUUGUCGCCCGGUAUUUUAAGGAUGACACGAUCCUCUCUGCCUCCUGCUCGGCUGCUGGUUCUUUUACCUUUCGGAGCAUCUUGCAUGGUCGUGACUUACUCCGGUAG
rnacentral:rRNA from 1 species